rnacentral:rRNA from 1 species
AGUGAACGCUGGCGGCGUGCUUAAUACAUGCAAGUCGAACGAGAACGGGCUAUAGCUUGCUAUAAUUGUCAGCUAAGUGACGCACGGGUGAGUAAUGUAUAGGUAAUAUGCCUCUUACUAAGGGAUAACAAAUGGAAACGUUUGCUAAUACCUUAUACUCCUUAUUAACAUAAGUUAAUAAGGGAAAGAUUUAUUGGUAAAAGAUUAGCCUGUAUUGUAUCAGUUAGUUGGUGGGGUAAUGGCUUACCAAGACUAUGACACAUAACUGGUUUGAGAGGAUGAUCAGUCACACUGGAACUGAGACACGGUCCGGACUCCUACGGGAGGCAGCAGUGGGGAAUAUUGCACAAUGGACGAAAGUCUGAUGCAGCAACGCCGCGUGGAGGAUGACACAUUUCGGUGCGUAAACUCCUUUUAUAUGAGAAGAUAAUGACGGUAUUAUAUGAAUAAGCACCGGCUAACUCCGUGCCAGCAGCCGCGGUAAUAC